AGAAAACGCGAGGAGGGAUAAUACGACUUUUAACAAGAGUCUGGUAACCCUGGCGUCGUGCUGGUGGCGAGGCCCCUAUGGCAGGAGGUGGAGGAGGCAGGAGAUGAUUCAGUGAGGGAAGGGAAGGCCGGAUUGUCCUACUCGGGGCUUUUCGGAGGAUAGAAAGCGAGGAGGAGGAUAGAAAAAAUUAUAUUCCGGUCUGUCCUCGCGUAACUGCCAAGGAGGAAAGUGAUAAGUGAAUUGAAAGAAAGAAAAUAGGAAAGGAAUUACAAACCAAAAAAGUGACUUAGCUGAUAUUCCC